GAUGAACGCUGGCGGCGUGCCUAAUACAUGCAAGUCGAGCGAACAGACGAGGAGCUUGCUCCUCUGACGUUAGCGGCGGACGGGUGAGUAACACGUGGAUAACCUACCUAUAAGACUGGGAUAACUUCGGGAAACCGGAGCUAAUACCGGAUAAUAUAUUGAACCGCAUGGUUCAAUAGUGAAAGACGGUUUUGCUGUCACUUAUAGAUGGAUCCGCGCCGCAUUAGCUAGUUGGUAAGGUAACGGCUUACCAAGGCAACGAUGCGUAGCCGACCUGAGAGGGUGAUCGGCCACACUGGAACUGAGACACGGUCCAGACUCCUACGGGAGGCAGCAGUAGGGAAUCUUCCGCAAUGGGCGAAAGCUUGACGGAGCAACGCCGCGUGAGUGAUGAACGUCUUCGGAUCGUAAAACUCUGUUAUUAGGGAAGAACAAAUGUGUAAGUAACUAUGCACGUCUUGACGGUACCUAAUCAGAAAGCCACGGCUAACUACGUG
rnacentral:rRNA from 1 species